AACGCACCUUGCGCCCUUUGGCCAUUCCGAAGGGCAUGCCUGUUUGAGUAUCAUGAACACCUCAACUCUCAUGGUUUACCGUGAUGAGCUUGGACUUUGGGGGCUUUGCUGGCCUGUGGUCAGCUCCUCUAAAAUGAAUUGGCUUGCCAGUGUUUGGUGGCAUCAUGGGUGUGAUAACUAUCUACGCUUGUGGUUUGCUGCUGGGUAACCUUCAGUGAUGAAGGUUCGCUGGAGCUCACAAAUGUCUCUCCUCAGCGAGGACAGCUUUUUGAACGUUUGAUCUCAAAUCAGGUAGGACUACCCGCUGAACUUAA
rnacentral:misc_RNA from 1 species